ACACAAAGGGUAUUUUCAUCCUCA
rnacentral:siRNA from 1 species